rnacentral:lncRNA from 1 species
UCAUGCAAAGUCACAUGCACUGUGUAGGUGGAGUACUAAGCUGCCCAGGGUCAUACUCAUGAGGUCUUGAGUCCGAAUCACCUGAGUUGCAUUGAUGGGAGGCAUUCUUUGUUUGUAGCCUUGAGGACCUUUACUCCCGGGACUAAAGGCAAUAUGUCCUUUUUUACUAGUGCAUGUGAAUGGACGUCACUGAUUUACCUCAGAUUGGCGGUGAAAAGUUUAGAGCAGAACCGAACUUCGUAACCCAAACAAGUCAGAUAUCUAAGAUCAAAAAACCAAAUAACUUUAUAUCCACACGCACUUGCCAAAUACGGCCCCGUGGUCAUGCGGGCGACAUGGAAUUUGGAUCUGGAGAUGGUGAUAGCCUUUUGCGAGGCUGGCUGCGGUAUGAGAUGCCCCCUCCAACUUCAUAUCGGCUUCGAUCCGGCUCCACAGGUGCUCCACACGAUGGCUCAUGCAGAUGCGCCAAGUCAUGUUGUCGCCUGCAUGUGCUACACACACACACAAUUUGGGAAGAGGCCCCAAGUCAUGCCUAUUGAUAGCAGGUGCUAUGCGUGGCGGCUCCUAUAGAGGAGCCAAGUAAUUGCAUGUUAUCGUUGUAUUGAAGCUGAAGUGACAGUGACUGCAGACGAGGCGGUAUGAGGCUUUUUUUUUUAGUAUUUUCUCUAGAAGCAUCCGGCUAUGUCGACGGUCGCCUGGGUCUAGG